UAGGGAAUCUUCCGCAAUGGGCGAAAGCCUGACGGAGCAACGCCGCGUGAGUGAUGAAGGUCUUCGGAUCGUAAAACUCUGUUAUUAGGGAAGAACAAAUGUGUAAGUAACUAUGCACGUCUUGACGGUACCUAAUCAGAAAGCCACGGCUAACUACGUGCCAGCAGCCGCGGUAAUACGUAGGUGGCAAGCGUUAUCCGGAAUUAUUGGGCGUAAAGCGCGCGUAGGCGGUUUUUUAAGUCUGAUGUGAAAGCCCACGGCUCAACCGUGGAGGGUCAUUGGAAACUGGAAAGCUUGAGUGCAGAAGAGGAAAGUGGAAUUCCAAGUGUAGCGGUGAAAUGCGCAGAGAUAUGGAGGAACACCAGUGGCGAAGGCGACUUUCUGGUCUGUAACUGACGCUGAUGUGCGAAAGCGUGGGGAUCAAACAGG
rnacentral:rRNA from 1 species